CGCCAACCCUUCCCUCCUGCCGCUCUCUGCAGCUGGCAGAGGACAGGAGCCGAGCGGCCCAGCAGAUGCAGUGGGCCCUGCGGUUCCUGGAUAGCCCGCAGGAGUCCGUACGAGAGGCGGCCCUCAGGAUCAUCGGCAUGGCCGGGCGGUGCCUCAGGAGGAAUACGGACGAGCUCCGGGCCCACAGUCCGGCCAUUUAAGUCCCAAGGAAAGACACCAGUCCAUCCCACGGUAACCUGGAUAUUCACACCCAAUGUGCCAGAAGAGCUGAAGAAUUAGGUGCAUCUUCAGGAUCCAGUGAACCCGUGUCCCAAGAACAGCACCAGGAGACACUGAAGAGGACACCAUCUCCCACUGCCACUGGAGCUCCAGGCACAGCUGAUGCUGGGCACAGCUGAGCCUGUGAGAAGCUCGGUAGCUCCUGCCUUCACCCUGCCUGUGGAUAUCUCCCUCCCACCAGCCCUGAAACCCUGGUCAUUCCCUUUUUCCCUCCCAUAUCACCCCUUUGCUUAGCCUUUCAUUAAUAAACAGUUUGGCUUCUUCAGUUUGCCUGCAUCCUGUGUGUCAGGACCACAGUCGUGUCUAAGGCCCUGCCAUAUUUGGUCCGCUGUUGUGCGCAUCAACAAGAUAAUGAAUAAAACCAGGUUCAAAAACUCUCCUGGAAAGGCAAGAUCCCAAUUUUAGCAGCUUUUUCCACCUCCAUGUUGCAGGAAUUCAUGGGUCUGCUGGAUAGGGGGUGUUCAUGCCAAGUUUCCUGCCCACUUGUCUAGGAACACUCUAAUGAUAGUGCUGGUGUGAUGAUUCAGUCUUGUGAGGUUUUUUGGGAUAUUUUUAGAGGAUUUCAGGGGCCUGGGAUAAGGGAAGAAAGCAAGACACAAUCCAGAUCCAGAAAAAUCCCAUAUAGCACUGGAAAUGAGGAGAACUCGGUGGAAAGACGCACAAAGGAACUGGAAGAAAAAGAAUUUUUAAGAAGGCAAAAAUGGGUAAAAGAAGGAUAAAAUUCCAAAUGAAUCCACCUGUAAAGAAUAACCUCAAGGUGCAAUAGGAGAAAUUCCAACACAACAGGUUACCAGGGGCUGGCAGGGCCCAAAUUUUUACUUUAUUUAGGAAAAUUUUAGAGGUGUUUUUUAACAUGUUUUUCAAAGAGAAUCCUACUUUUCCUUUCUGAAUGGACUGGAAGUUGCCUCCUGUUCAUGCUGUGCUGGUUUUGCCCAUGUUCAUUCCUGAAUUAAGAUUUAAAAAAACAGAAAAAACAUUUUUAAAAUAAGAUACAUUAUUAAUAUUAUUAUUAAUAUUAAUAAUGAUAAUAUGCACAGAAC